rnacentral:rRNA from 1 species
CAGGCUUGAACUGCGAGUGACAUCCUACGAAAGUAGGCUUCCGCAAGGACACUCGUAGAGGUGCUGCAUGGCUGUCGUCAGCUCGUGUCGUGAGAUGUUGGGUUAAGUCCCGCAACGAGCGCAACCCUUGUCUUCUGUUGCCAUCGGGUUAUGCCGGGCACUCUGAAGAGACUGCCGGUGACAAACCGGAGGAAGGUGGGGAUGACGUCAAGUCAGCAUGGCCUUUA